GUAGGUGGCAAGCGUUGUCCGGAAUUAUUGGGCGUAAAGCGCGCGCAGGCGGUUCUUUAAGUCUGAUGUGAAAGCCCACGGCUCAACCGUGGAGGGUCAUUGGAAACUGGAGAACUUGAGUACAGAAGAGGAAAGCGGAAUUCCACGUGUAGCGGUGAAAUGCGUAGAGAUGUGGAGGAACACCAGUGGCGAAGGCGGCUUUCUGGUCUGUAACUGACGCUGAAGCGCGAAAGCGUGGGGAGCAAACAGGGAUUAGAUACCCUGGUAGUCCACGCCGUAAACGAUGAGUGCUAAGUGUUAGGGGGUUUCCGCCCCCUUAGUGCUGCAGCUAACGCAUUAAGCACUCCGCCUGGGGAUACGGCCGCAAGGCUG
rnacentral:rRNA from 1 species